GACGAACGCUGGCGGCGCGCCUAACACAUGCAAGUCGAGCGAUGAGAUUUUAACCGAUCUCUUCGGAGAGAAGAUAAAAUGGAUUAGCGGCGGACGGGUGAGUAACACGUGAGAAACCUGCCUUUCACAAGGGGAUAGCCUCGGGAAACCGGGAUUAAUACCCUAUGACACAUUUCCUUCGCAUGGAAGAAAUGUUAAAACUCCGGUGGUGAAAGAUGGUCUCGCGCCUGAUUAGCUAGUUGGUGGGGUAACGGCCCACCAAGGCCAUGAUCAGUAACCGGCCUGAGAGGGUGAACGGUCACAUUGGAACUGAGACACGGUCCAAACUCCUACGGGAGGCAGCAGUGGGGAAUAUUGCACAAUGGAGGAAACUCUGAUGCAGCGACGCCGCGUGAGCGAUGAAGGCUUUCGAGUCGUAAAGCUCUGUCCUAUGGGAAGAUAAUGACGGUACCAUAGGAGGAAGCCCCGGCUAACUACGUG
rnacentral:rRNA from 1 species